CCUACGGGCGGCUGCAGUGGGGAAUAUUGGACAAUGGGCGAAAGCCUGAUCCAGCCAUGCCGCGUGUGUGAAGAAGGCCUUCGGGUUGUAAAGCACUUUCAGUGGGGAAGAAAGCCUUGGGGCUAAUACCCUCGAGGAAGGACAUCACCCACAGAAGAAGCACCGGCUAACUCCGUGCCAGCAGCCGCGGUAAUACGGAGGGUGCGAGCGUUAAUCGGAAUUACUGGGCGUAAAGCGCGCGUAGGCGGUCUGAUAAGCCGGUUGUGAAAGCCCCGGGCUCAACCUGGGAACGGCAUCCGGAACUGUCAGGCUAGAGUGCAGGAGAGGAAGGUAGAAUUCCCGGUGUAGCGGUGAAAUGCGUAGAGAUCGGGAGGAAUACCAGUGGCGAAGGCGGCCUUCUGGACUGACACUGACGCUGAGGUGCGAAAGCGUGGGUAGCAAACAGGAUUAGAAACCCCAGUAGUC
rnacentral:rRNA from 1 species